ensembl:lncRNA
GGACUUGGGAUAAAUCAUUUCACUGAGACGCAGAGGUUAAAGGACAAACUAAGGGGAAGUGGAUGGGAGAGAAUUUCACAGCUCAUUGACUGCUCUGACUCCUAAUCUACACCGGAGGAAACAAUGUUGCAGCUCAUCAAAUGCAAUCAGCUGCUAAUUGAAAGGAAAUGGAAUUUUACAAUUACAGGCCACCUUUCAGUGCUCAGGAUUUCUAAGCCUUCUCCCCACCCUCCUUGGCCAGCUCAGCACUGGCAGGAGCACUUGACAACCUGCUGGAGACUUCCCUGAGAACUGCAUUUAGGAUCUGGCCCAGAGCCGCAAAAAGGGAAGCAGCAUCCUUGCCAGUUCCUAGACUGUCCUUCAAGGCUCAGUGCAAAGGGAAGAGGCUGGGGUUGGGCAUCCACAGACCUAAGUGAGUGUGCUGGCUCACCUUCCCGCCGCCCCUUUGACUUGAACAAGGUAUGCCCUUGUUCUUCCCCGAGCCCCACUUUCCUUCUCUCCAAAAUCAAGAUUUAAUGAUUUCCAAGGUUCUCAUUGGGCUUCCUUGGUGGCUCAAUGGUAAAGAAUCUGCCUGCAAUGCUGGAGAAAUGGGUUCAAUUACUGGGUUGGAAAGAUUCGCUGGAGAAGGAAAUAGCAAUCCGCACCAGUAUUCUUGCCUGGAAAAUCGCAUGGACAGAGGAGUCUGGAAGGCUACAGUCCAUGGGGUUGCAAAAGAGUCAGACAUGACUGAGCAACUAAACAACAAAACAACAGAGCUUAUUAGCUCCGAGGAUUCUGUUCACCCUAUUCCUGCUACUAUUCCCAUCCAGUGGACAACAUCUAAGUGGACAUACUCUUGCUGGCCCAGAUAUCUGCUUUUGCAAAUGCUACCAGGGAAAACACUUUCACAACUAGGAGGAGGCAGAAAAUGCUUUCCAAGCGUUCCUCAAAUCCUGACUUUUAUGCUGCAGGAAUUAACAAACGUAUUUCUUGUUGGCAAAAUUGUACUGAUUGUAAUGGAUUCUAUUUUGGUUAAUAAAGAUAUGCUUGAGCCUAGUUAUAAUGAUUUAAAAAUCCACAGUCUGAAACAGCAAUUACUUUUGUACCAAUAUAAUAUUUAUCAGCGUUCUCCUGAUGGCAUCUACCAAGCUUAUAGAAUGGCUCUCUUAGGUUUGCACUCUCCCUAGAUCCAAUCAGAUCCAAGGAUGGUGAUCUAUGAAGAAGGAGCUCCCUAGAAAGAUCUAUAUGUAUGCUAGACCAAUUAGCACAUUCUACAAUUCAUUUAUUUAUUCUUCAGAUACUGUCUGAGCAUGUAUUUUAUCCCAGACAUAGUGCCCAGGAUAAAUACAAAUGUGUAUAUAUAAG